rnacentral:rRNA from 1 species
AUUGAACGCUGGCGGCAGGCCUAACACAUGCAAGUCGAGCGGAUGAAGGGAGCUUGCUCCUGGAUUCAGCGGCGGACGGGUGAGUAAUGCCUAGGAAUCUGCCUGGUGGUGGGGGAUAACGUCCGGAAACGGGCGCUAAUACCGCAUACGUCCUGAGGGAGAAAGUGGGGGAUCUUCGGACCUCACGCUAUCAGAUGAGCCUAGGUCGGAUUAGCUAGUUGGUGGGGUAAAGGCCUACCAAGGCGACGAUCCGUAACUGAUCUGAGAGGAUGAUCAGUCACACUGGAACUGAGACACGGUCCAGACUCCUACGGGAGGCAGCAGUGGGGAAUAUUGGACAAUGGGCGAAAGCCUGAUCCAGCCAUGCCGCGUGUGUGAAGAAGGUCUUCGGAUUGUAAAGCACUUUAAGUUGGGAGGAAGGGCAGUAAGUUAAUACCUUGCUGUUUUGACGUUACCAACAGAAUAAGCACCGGCUAACUUCGUG